AUAAUAAUUAGGUUUUUGAUUGAAAUCUAGAAUGAAUGAUUGGACGAGAUACAGGCUGUUUUAUAAUAAUUAAUUAAAAUUUAAUUUUUUAGUCAAAAAGCUAAAAUUUAAUUAAAAGACGAGAAGACCCUAUAAAUCUUUAUAAUAAGUCUAUUUUAACAAAUUAUUUUAUUUAAAUUAAUAGUUUUAAUAUUAAAUUAUUUUAUUGGGGUGAUACAAAAAUUUAAUUAACUUUUUUAUUAAAAUUUCUUAAAUUAAAGAUUUAUAAAAAUAUGAUCUAUUAUUAAUAAUUCAGAGAGUAAGAUACUUUAGGGAUAACAGCGUAAUUUUAAUUUUAAGUUCUUAUUAAAAUUAAAGAUUGC
rnacentral:rRNA from 1 species